CUCACUUGAAUCAAGACCCGCGGUUUGCUGAAACUGCUGGUUUCAAGCAGGAGCCUAAAGAAAAAUCUUCCUAUGAUCUGUUGAUCAUUUCAGAGUUUUCUAAAUGGGAUGGUUGAUUCACUAGAAAGAAACAUCU